rnacentral:rRNA from 1 species
UACAGAGGGUGCUAGCGUUGUUCGGAAUUAUUGGGCGUAAAGGGCGCGUAGGCGGCCCAGUGUGUCGGGUGUGAAAGCCCACCUCUUAAAGGUGGAAUUGCAUUCGAAACUACCGGGCUGGAGUGUCGGAGAGGAUGGCGGAAUUCCUGGUGUAGAGGUGAAAUUCGUAGAUAUCAGGAGGAACACCGGUGGCGAAGGCGGCCAUCUGGACGACAACUGACGCUGAGGCGCGAAAGCGUGGGGAGCAAACAGG